CCGCCGCGCUGCUGAUCUACAGCAGUAGCUCCUUCUUUCUCUCUGGAAAGUGCAGAGCAGGACUGACACGCCAUUUUUGGGUGAGUGUCAUUUUACUCCAAAAUUCAACAGAACAAGUUUGAAGUUUUGCAAAUGAAUCAGGAAGUUGGAGAUCACCAGGUAGAGAACUAGAAAUCCCAAGGCUACAAAUACCUGGAGGGUUUAAGUUGACAAACGAUGAAUUUUGGCCGCUUUCAAGGAAGCCAUACUUGCAUUUUAUUAUUUGGAGGACACACGUCAGACCAUAUUAUCUGCUGGUUCCUCCAGCCCAAACUGCAGCAUUUUCUCCCAACUGAAGCAAUCCUACUAUUCUCACAUACAAGAGUAAGAGUUGGGAAAUUGUUUACCAUGGAGAACAUAAACAACCUAAAAUUUUUGACAGAAACUGGAAACAUUUUGUGGUUGACAAUGGGUUUAAGGUUGGAGAUGCUUGUGUAUUUGAGCUUAUGGAAAACACAAGAAGAUUCUCAAAUUCAAAGUUCACAUUCUCAGAGUUGACAUUCUGUUAUCCAUACUUGUGGCCGUGUAUGGGACUUGAAGCAGGACAAAUUUGCUCAUGACUUAACGGUGAGAAUUGGGUAUGGAUGUGACAUUACAGCAGGCAAUAUUCUUAUUGAUAUGUAUGGAAAGUGUGAUGACCUAUUAGCAGCACAUGCAGUAUUUGUGGGAAUGGAACAGAAGGAUUCCGUGUCUAGGAAUUCAUUGAUCAGGGGCUAUAGUAAAAGUCGUAAAUUUGAAGAAGGGUUAAAACUUUGUAUUAGCAACCUAGAAGAUAAUGAGCUGGCUUUUGACAGCAGUUUGGAGACCUUAACUUGGGGAAAGAAAGCUGGAGAUAAAUUUGAUUUUAACUGCUGCAGCCGAGAUGAAUUUCUCCUUGUGGAUGCAGAACUUGGUGACUAAUUUAUCAUGAGGUGGUUAGGUUUCUUUAAUAACUGGAGCACCUGAAAAGUCUUGCAACCAACCUGAUAACCGAGGAAAUCUCUGCUCAUCGACAAUUUUGAUGCUGGUUACCCCUUCAAUAACUCCAAGCAAGUGAGCAAGCCAACCCGAUGCAAGAUCCACGAACCCGAUCUUGUCUCCACCAAAAAAUUUCUUUCCUUGCAGCUCUUCUUCUAAGAAUUUCAAAUUUUCAGCAGCUGCAGCCAGAGCUUCCUCUUGCUCUUGUCCUUGGCUUGUAAAUGAAGACCGUAUUGUUGCCAGCACCUGAUGGAAUCAACGAACAGAAGCGUGCCUUGGCGCUGUCAUGAGGAUCUUGAGGCAGCAAAGGAUACUGUUUCCAUAUUUCGUCUAUGUACUCAAUAAUGACAAGUGACUCAAACAGUGGGUUUGCCAUUGCGAAUGAGGACAGGGAUCUUCUUGUAAACAGGAUUGAGUUGGAGAAGAAGAGGACUUUUGUUGGAGAGAUCUUCUUCUAUUGUUUCAUACUCUAUGCUUUUGAGUUUCAAUGCCCACACCACUCUUAAACUAAAUGGGCUUGACCAUGCCUGCAACAGCUUCACUUCUUCCCCCAUACUUCACUGCCUUGCAUAUGUAUCUCCUUCCCAGAAUUGCUACAUGUGUGUGUGUAUAAAUAGUAGAAGCCAAAUCUCAAGGGAAAGAUUCGAGAGUGCCUGGGAGAGUUCAAUUGACUUUGAUGCAUCACUCGCAUGAAUGGCUUCUUGGAUCUAUCAUUGUCUGCCAGUCAAAAGUCCCAUGCCAAAAGUAAGAGCUGCAGUCGAGAUGAAUUUCUCCUGGAGGAUGCGGAACUUGGUGACUAAUUUAUCAUGAGGUGGGAAGCUUUCUUUAAUAACUGGAGCACUUGAGAAGUCUUGCAACCAACCUGAUAACCGAGGAAAUCUCUGCUCAU